rnacentral:piRNA from 1 species
ACUAUUUCUCAGAGGUGGUGCCCGGG